AAGCUAGGCUGCGGCGCUGGGAGCGGCGGAUCCCUCCGCCUGCCGGGAGGGAGGGAGGAAGGGACGAAGCGAGGCAAAGUAGGGAGGCGAGACCCAGAGGCCUUUAAAGGGAUCGGUCCGCUCCCACGGUGCCCCUCGGAGCACGCCGGCCGCCCGCCCGCCCGCCUGGCGCUGCUGCCACCGCGUGCUCCAGGAGGUCCUUUCCGGGGAGGCCGUGCGAGCUGCACGCACACUCUCAACACGCGCCACCUCGGCACCUCCUCGCGGCCCCGGGCCCCAGGAGAGUUGGGAGGUGGGAGUCUAAGUAGAUAAAUUAAGGGGAGACUGGAAGUGGUGAAAAGCUCCCAUCUCCCCCACUUGGUGUGUGACAAAGCCCCACUCACGGGCGACAUUCUUGGGGUUGGGGGGUGUUACCUAGGGAGCUCAGUUGCUCCCUCUACCUGUGACAGGCCCCCUCCGGUCCCAGGGCCCGGCUCGGCAGACGCCCAGCAAUUUAAAGCGACAGCUCAUAGUUCUUGGGUGACCUAAUCUCCAGUGCUUGCGGGGCCCCACAGCACUUACUGCCGAGGGGGCAAUUUAAAGGGGCGGGACCCUAAUUCCUCCCCACCUCCCGCCGCACAGUAAACACCCAGAAAUGUCUUAUUAAAGAAGCAGUAGUAGCUCUUUAAAAUUUUUUAUUUUUAUAUUCCUGGUUGCUCCAGGGUGUGGUGAAUAUUUACGUGCCCUACAACAGGAGUGUGGGUGCCAUGCCUACUGGACAACUGACCCGUCAGGCUUCAGCAUCCCUGUUACUUCCAAGUCCUGCUGCUUUCUCCCAAGAGCGUAAGGAAAUGAUGGCAUCUGGCUUAGAUCUCAAAGAACCUUGCAGAACAGAAGGGCACUCACUCAGUUCUUCACACACCCCGAAUUUUUUUUUUUUUUUUUUUGAGACGGAGUCUUUCUUCGUCGCCCAGGCUGGAGUGCAGUGGCGCGAUCUUGGCUCACUGCAACUUCCGCCUCCCAGGUUCAAGCGAUUCUCCUGCCUCGCCUCCCCUCCCGCCUCCCGAAUAGCUGGGACGACAGGCGCACGCCCCCACGCCCGGCUAAUUUUUUGUGUUUUAGUGGAGAUGGGAUUUCACC
rnacentral:lncRNA from 1 species